UAGUGCAGUCACUUCCCUUUUCCCACUUUGGAAAAUGCUGCAUUAUUUUAUUGGAAACAUUUAAAUACAAAAGAAAAUUAAUAAGAUUGCUUAUCAUGUGUCCCAAGGCAGAUUUUUAAUAAAACAAAAAGGAACAACGAUUUUAAUUUCUGCAGUGUGCUUGAAAAUGAUGGCACUGCUGUGAAGAAGAAAACACCCAAGGAUAAAUACUGUUUUGUCCCAAUUCACUGGAAUUAGGUGGAGACAUGAGAAGGAGGAUAAAGAAUCCUAUUUCAAUCUAAAGGCCUGUAACCUAGAUCUAGAUACGGAGAUGAAAUGGGAGUUUGCCAAAAAAGGUCAAUCGUCCAAAUAAAAAGACAAAGUCUCACAGAGACGAAGCCUUUGUCCCUUCCUCUUCACUCUGCUUUGAAUGUUGGAUGUGAUAUCUCAGGCUUCGGCAGCCAUCUUGUAACCACAAGGAUAUGGACAGUUUGUGAGUGAUGGCAGAACAGAAAGAGCUCUGGUCACUGACGGUUUCACCGAAUCACUGAGAAGCUGAACCAAAGGCAGGAACCACUAAUUUCUAGGAUUUUUGUUAAAUUCCUGUUUUCUAUUGCAGACAAAUGCAGUCCUAACCGUGACUACUAAAUGUGACAUAGUAUGUAAACAUCACAGUACUUGUCAAUAAUGAGAGUCAAUAAAUGCCAAGACCAUUCCUUUCUCUCUUUU